rnacentral:piRNA from 1 species
AGAGAUGAGGACACUGCUGGCAGUAA